AUACGGAAGGUCCGGGCGUUAUCCGGAUUUAUUGGGUUUAAAGGGAGCGUAGGCCGGAGAUUAAGCGUGUUGUGAAAUGUAGAUGCUCAACAUCUGAACUGCAGCGCGAACUGGUUUCCUUGAGUACGCACAAAGUGGGCGGAAUUCGUGGUGUAGCGGUGAAAUGCUUAGAUAUCACGAAGAACUCCGAUUGCGAAGGCAGCUCACUGGAGCGCAACUGACGCUGAAGCUCGAAAGUGCGGGUAUCGAACAGGAUUAGAUACCCUGGUAGUCCGCACGGUAAACGAUGGAUGCCCGCUGUUGGUCUGAAUAGGUCAGCGGCCAAGCGAAAGCAUUAAGCAUCCCACCUGGGGAGUACGCCGGCAACGGUGAAACUCAAAGGAAUUGACGGGGGCCCGCACAAGCGGAGGAACAUGUGGUUUAAUUCGAUGAUACGCGAGGAACCUUACCCGGGCUUGAAUUGCAGAGGGAGGAUUUGGAGACAAUGACGCCCUUCGGGGCCUCUGUGAAGGUGCUGCAUGGUUGUCGUCAGCUCGUGCCGUGAGGUGUCGGCUUAAGUGCCAUAACGAGCGCAACCCCUCUCCUUAGUUGCCAUCAGGUGAAGCUGGGCACUCUGGGGACACUGCCACCGUAAGGUGUGAGGAAGGUGGGGAUGACGUCAAAUCAGCACGGCCCUUACGUCCGGGGCUACACACGUGUUACAAUGGCAGGUACAGAGAGACGGUCCCUUGCAAAAUGGAUCAAAUCCUUAAAGCCUGUCUCAGUUCGGACUGGGGUCUGCAACCCGACCCCACGAAGCUGGAUUCGCUAGUAAUCGCGCAUCAGCCAUGGCGCGGUGAAUACGUUCCCGGGCCUUGUACACACCGCCCGUCAAGCCAUGAAAGCCGGGGGCGCCUAAAGUCCGUGACCGUAAGGAGCGGCCUAGGGCGAAACUGGUAAUUGGGGCU
rnacentral:rRNA from 1 species